rnacentral:rRNA from 1 species
AACGAACGCUGGUGGCAGGCCUAACACAUGCAAGUCGAACGCCCCGCAAGGGGAGUGGCAGACGGGUGAGUAACGCGUGGGAACCUACCUAGUGGUACGGAACAACUCGGGGAAACUUGAGCUAAUACCGUAUACGCCCUCCGGGGGAAAGAUUUAUCGCCAUUAGAUGGGCCCGCGUCGGAUUAGCUAGUUGGUGAGGUAAUGGCUCACCAAGGCUUCGAUCCGUAGCUGGUCUGAGAGGAUGAUCAGCCACACUGGGACUGAGACACGGCCCAGACUCCUACGGGAGGCAGCAGUGAGGAAUAUUGGACAAUGGGCGCAAGCCUGAUCCAGCCAUGCCGCGUGAGUGAAGAAGGCCUUAGGGUUGUAAAGCUCUUUCGACGGGGAAGAUAAUGACGGUACCCGUAGAAGAAGCCCCGGCUAACUUCGUGCCAGCCGCCGCGGUAA